rnacentral:tmRNA from 1 species
GGGGCUGCCACGGUUUCGACGUGUUGGCGAACGCUACUUCGUGAUACAGGUCGAGAGCGGGCUAACUCUCGUAAAUCAAUGGCUCAAAACAAAGUACAUGCGAACAACAUCGUACCUUUUGCUCGUAAGCGUGCAGCAGUAGCCGCCGCCUAAAAACCUCUCAUAGGUCCGAGCGUCUGCAAUUUGACUCCGUUAAGGAUUGCGGACACAACCCCAACGGAUGCUCUAACGUCUUGCCUCUGGUCAAGCGUUGGCUAAGACUUUACUAGAGAAUCCCAUCGUCGGGGAUAAGCGACGAUUCCCGCUUCGAGGAUAAGAGAAGCUAAACCUGUGAACGAGCGGGGUAUUAAUACCCGAUGCGGACAGGAGUUCGACUCUCCUCAGCUCCACUU